rfam:Ailuropoda melanoleuca scaffold776_164, whole genome shotgun sequence.
GCCUGGCUGGCUCAGUUGGUAGAGCAUGUGACUCUUGAUCUCAGGGUUGUGAGUUUAAACCCCAUGUUGGGCA